rnacentral:lncRNA from 1 species
UACAAACUAGCUUUGUAAUAUUAUUAUGUAUGAAAUUAUUAUCUAUUUCUAGAUAAAUGAUAAUAGGUAUUACAACUAUAUGAAAGAAUAACGAUUAAUCCGUAUAGAGUAAAUGCAAGUACUUGAUUAUGAUAUUCGACCACAAAAAGCAGCCUUACAAAUUGGUGAAUCUUACAUUGCUAUUUGAAACCAUUAGAGUCAUGCCAUGUUGCUAUAAGACUCUUCUUUUUUCUGUUUGAACACUUUUCUCUUGAAAUUUUCCUUCUCGAGCUUUGAACAUUCUAAUUUGAAGUGUAAAGUCCUUUAGGAAACUACUUGUUUCUCCUACUUCAUAAACGUUGAACUUUUUUUAUACAAAAAUGAUAUCUCAUCAUCAUAUGAGUCUUCACUCUGAUCACCAGACCCAUCUUCAUAUGAUUUUUCUUUAGCUUGAACAACUUUGGAGACAUUCUUCGUCCUUUUAGAUAUCAAAUCAACAAACUUUUAUUUCCUCUAUGAUUGAUCUUCAUUUAGCUCAAUCUCAUGGGAUUGUAAUGCCUCAUGAGGAAGUUUGUUGAGAUCUAUAACUUUCUGAAUGGUUGUAACUUUGGGUCUCCACUUGAUUACAAAACUCAUUACUAAUAAGUUUUCUUUGGAUUCUUUGACUUGCUUAUUUCCUUCAUAGUUAACACAUAAAGCAUCAAAGAUACACUUUUGUUGUUUCUUUAGCAUUGAUUCUAUCAAACUCUUUAAAGGUAAUAACAUUCAUCAUAAAUAUUCCAACUUUACAAUACAUCUUAAGCUUUUUCUAUUGAUAAGCAACUUGUUGUUUUCUUGCUAUGACAUCACCAUUUGCAUCUUUUGGAUCUUCAAAUCCUUUUUGCACUAGAUCCUAUAGUUCAAAAUUCUGAGAAAUGCAUAAGCUUAUAAGUUUAUCUUUCCAAUACUCAAAUCUCUCUCCAUAAAAAACCAACUACUUUAUCACUAAAUUUAGACAUUGUUCACACAUAAGCCCUUAGGAUCUUUUCACAAACACAUUAAAGUGCUCAACCAAGAGAUCCAACUCUGAUGUCAAUCACAUGUGAUAAAAAAACACUUGAAGUGGGAGGUUUGAAUUGUGUAUAAAUAGUUUUACUUUUAAAACCAAGUGAUUUUUAAAAACUAUUCGAAAACAAAACUUCUAAGAUAACAAGAUAAAGGAAAGCACAUGAACACAAGCAAGUUAUCCUACUUAACCACAUAGAAACUACGUCUAACCCCUUCAACCUGAAGGAUUUCAACACUAAAGCAAACUGAUUUUUCUUUUCAACUACUAGAACAUAUUAAUGUAUUCCUGCUAUGUUCUACUUUUCUCAAACUUCUAACUUAGUAUUGUUAAGCUUUUCAGGAUGCAACCAAUAUUGGGUCAAGUUACAAAAAUGUAAAAAUUUGUGAAUUGCAAGAUAAAUCUCAACAUGCGAUAGAGAUUUUAAGCUCAAAAUAAAAUGUGAGUAUGUUUCAAUAGAAAAUAUUUUGAAAAUAAGAUCACUUGAUGUACUCAUAAUUGGUUCUUGACUUUUGCAGCGUGAUUGUUCAAAGUUUUCUUGCUUUUUUGAAAUUUACGCAAAAGUAUUUUUAUAGUACAUGAAAUGAUACAAUUAUUUUUUUUUGACAGAUGCAGGAAAUGUUAUGCACAACUUGUACAAUUUUGUACUAUCUAGAACAACCAAUAUGAAUUUUGAAAUUGAUACUUGUCUUUUUCUCCUUUUCUGUUUAACUAUGUAGGAGAUUGAUAUUUUCAUCAUAGUGUUGAUUGGAACAUCAGGUAAUCUUGAUAAUACACUUAAAUAUGUAGUAGAUUGUUCAGAUGAUGCACUUGGAAUGAUGAUCGAUGAGAAAACAUUGAGUAGAAGAUGACAAUAAUACUCACCAAAAUAAAUGUUUCUUCGAAUAGACAAAACUCUAAAUUUUCAUAAGAGGAUCUACAUAUUUAAACAUAUAAAUUAUUCUCACUUAUAUUUUGUUAUCAUCGAAACUAAAAUUAAGGAUCGUUGUUAUUCAAACUAACUUGAUUCUAAUAAAAUUUUCAAACAAUGAUAAAGAUAAGCAUUUUUUUUUGUACAAUUCAUCAUGAAUACUUCAAUAUUAAUUAUUUCAUAAAUAAACAAAAAUAUAUGCUUAUUAUACAAGACAAAGAAAUUUCUCAACAAAACUUAAAUGCAAAAAUAAAAAUAAUUGACAUGAGAAUAUAUAUAUAUAUAUAUAUAUAUANNNNNNNNNNNNNNNNNNNNNNNNNNNNNNNNNNNNNNNNNNNNNNNNNNNNNAAUAACAUAGUAACAAGAUUAUGAAACUACAUUAUUCCAAAUAUAUUGAAAAGAAGACGAGGACUAGGAAUUUGUCCAAAAACAAAAGUAGAGGAUGAAGUCUUGCAAUAUAACCUCCGAGCAAGUUAGCCAUGACUCAUUCGAUAGAAUAACAUGCCAAUAACGUGCUACGAAAUUAGUAGUAUAAAGAAAAUGAAGAAAGAUAGAAUUGAAAAGAAUAUUUGUAAUUUGAUCUUUAAGGUUAUCUUUACAUUGCUACAAAAAAUUUAUUUAUUGAACAAAAAUGCAAUAACUUUCAAGCAUAUGAAUUAUCUAAUUUUUUUUUUUAAAGAAAUGAAAGGUCUAACAUUAUGUGUCAUUAAUAUUGACAUCCAAAUAUAAUGGUUUUUAUUCAUGGAAGUUGUAACAGCCUUCUAUAUAAGAAAAUGAUCAUCCACCAAAUAAUAAAAAUAUUCAUUUUUUUAUGGAGAAAAUAUUCAUUAAAAUAGAACUAAUACUAUAUAAUUUAUUUAUGAAAAAGUGUAUGGAGGUUGGUGUUGGGGACUAAUUCUAAAAUGUUAUUAACAUUAAAUAAAAAUGUUUUUUCUUUUAAAAAUAGAAGCGGGAUUGAUAGAUUGAUAGGUCAGCGUAAAAGAAAAUAACUCA